UCCUGUUUAACAAAAACAUGUCUUUUUGUAUUAUAUAUAAAGUCUGACCUGCCCACUGAGAUUUUGAAGGGCCGCAGUAUUUUGACUGUGCUAAGGUAGCAUAAUCAUUUGUUUUUUAAUUGGAAACUGGAAUGAAGGGUUUGAUGAGAUAUAGGCUGUCUCUAUAUAAACAUAUCAAUAAUUUAAAUUUUAAGUUAAAAUGCUUAAAUAUUUAUAAAAGACGAGAAGACCCUAUAGAUCUUUAUAUUUUUCAUUAAUGUUUUUUUUAUAAUAAAAUUAAGAUUGGUUAUAAAUAUUUAAUUGGGGUGAUUUAAAAAUUUAAUAAACUUUUUAAUAAAAUAACCUUAUUUUAAGAAUUUUUGAUCCAUUUAUUUUGAUUAAUAGAUUAAGUUACCUUAGGGAUAACAGCGUAAUUUUUUUAGAGAGUUCUUAUCGAUAAAAAAGAUUGCGACCUCGAUGUUGAAUUAAAGUAUGCCUUCAAAUCUCAG
rnacentral:rRNA from 1 species